rnacentral:rRNA from 1 species
GAUGAACGCUAGCGGCAGGCUUAACACAUGCAAGUCGAGGGGUAGAAGGAGCUUGCUCCUUUGAGACCGGCGCACGGGUGCGUAACGCGUAUGCAAUCUACCUUUUGCAGAGGGAUAGCCCAGAGAAAUUUGGAUUAAUACCUCAUAGUAUGUGAGGAUGGCAUCAUUUUCACAUUAAAGUCACAACGGCAAAGAUGAGCAUGCGUCCUAUUAGCUAGUUGGUAAGGUACGGACGUACCUAACGGACGUACG